GAUGAACGCUGGCGGCGUGCCUAAUACAUGCAAGUCGAGCGAACAGAUAAGGAGCUUGCUCCUUUGACGUUAGCGGCGGACGGGUGAGUAACACGUGGGUAACCUACCUAUAAGACUGGAAUAACUCCGGGAAACCGGGGCUAAUGCCGGAUAACAUUUCGAACCGCAUGGUUCUAAAGUGAAAGAUGGUUUUGCUAUCACUUAUAGAUGGACCCGCGCCGUAUUAGCUAGUUGGUAAGGUAACGGCUUACCAAGGCAACGAUACGUAGCCGACCUGAGAGGGUGAUCGGCCACACUGGAACUGAGACACGGUCCAGACUCCUACGGGAGGCAGCAGUAGGGAAUCUUCCGCAAUGGGCGAAAGCCUGACGGAGCAACGCCGCGUGAGUGAUGAAGGUCUUCGGAUCGUAAAACUCUGUUAUUAGGGAAGAACAAAUGUGUAAGUAACUGUGCACGUCUUGACGGUACCUAAUCAGAAAGCCACGGCUAACUACGUG
rnacentral:rRNA from 1 species